rnacentral:rRNA from 1 species
GAUGAACGCUGACAGAAUGCUUAACACAUGCAAGUCUACUUGAACUUCGGUUUGGGUGGCGGACGGGUGAGUAACGCGUAAAGAACUUACCUCACAGUUAGGGACAACAUUUGGAAACGAAUGCUAAUACCUGAUAUUAUGAUUUUAGGGCAUCCUAAGAUUAUGAAAGCUAUAUGCGCUGUGAGAGAGCUUUGCGUCCCAUUAGCUAGUUGGAGAGGUAACGGCUCACCAAGGCGAUGAUGGGUAGCCGGCCUGAGAGGGUGAACGGCCACAAGGGGACUGAGACGCGGCCCUUACUCCUACGGGAGGCAGCAGUGGGGAAUAUUGGACAAUGGACCAAAAGUCUGAUCCAGCAAUUCUGUGUGCACGAUGACGUUUUUCGGAAUGUAAAGUGCUUUCAGUUGGGAAGAAAAAAAUGACGGUACCAACAGAAGAAGUGACGGCUAAAUACGUG